rnacentral:rRNA from 1 species
AAAUUGAAGAGUUUGAUCAUGGCUCAGAUUGAACGCUGGCGGCAGGCCUAACACAUGCAAGUCGAACGGUAACAGGAAGCAGCUUGCUGCUUUGCUGACGAGUGGCGGACGGGUGAGUAAUGUCUGGGAAACUGCCUGAUGGAGGGGGAUAACUACUGGAAACGGUAGCUAAUACCGCAUAACGUCGCAAGACCAAAGAGGGGGACCUUCGGGCCUCUUGCCAUCGGAUGUGCCCAGAUGGGAUUAGCUAGUAGGUGGGGUAACGGCUCACCAAGGCGACGAUCCCUAGCUGGUCUGAGAGGAUGACCAGCCACACUGGAACUGAGACACGGUCCAGACUCCUACGGGAGGCAGCAGUGGGGAAUAUUGCACAAUGGGCGCAAGCCUGAUGCAGCCAUGCCGCGUGUAUGAAGAAGGCCUUCGGGUUGUAAAGUACUUUCAGCGGGGAGGAAGGGAGUAAAGUUAAUACCUUUGCUCAUUGACGUUACCCGCAGAAGAAGCACCGGCUAACUCCGUGCCAGCAGCCGCGGUAAUACGGAGGGUGCAAGCGUUAAUCGGAAUUACUGGGCGUAAAGCGCACGCAGGCGGUUUGUUAAGUCAGAUGUGAAAUCCCCGGGCUCAACCUGGGAACUGCAUCUGAUACUGGCAAGCUUGAGUCUCGUAGAGGGGGGUAGAAUUCCAGGUGUAGCGGUGAAAUGCGUAGAGAUCUGGAGGAAUACCGGUGGCGAAGGCGGCCCCCUGGACGAAGACUGACGCUCAGGUGCGAAAGCGUGGGGAGCAAACAGGAUUAGAUACCCUGGUAGUCCACGCCGUAAACGAUGUCGACUUGGAGGUUGUGCCCUUGAGGCGUGGCUUCCGGAGCUAACGCGUUAAGUCGACCGCCUGGGGAGUACGGCCGCAAGGUUAAAACUCAAAUGAAUUGACGGGGGCCCGCACAAGCGGUGGAGCAUGUGGUUUAAUUCGAUGCAACGCGAAGAACCUUACCUGGUCUUGACAUCCACGGAAGUUUUCAGAGAUGAGAAUGUGCCUUCGGGAACCGUGAGACAGGUGCUGCAUGGCUGUCGUCAGCUCGUGUUGUGAAAUGUUGGGUUAAGUCCCGCAACGAGCGCAACCCUUAUCCUUUGUUGCCAGCGGUCCGGCCGGGAACUCAAAGGAGACUGCCAGUGAUAAACUGGAGGAAGGUGGGGAUGACGUCAAGUCAUCAUGGCCCUUACGACCAGGGCUACACACGUGCUACAAUGGCGCAUACAAAGAGAAGCGACCUCGCGAGAGCAAGCGGACCUCAUAAAGUGCGUCGUAGUCCGGAUUGGAGUCUGCAACUCGACUCCAUGAAGUCGGAAUCGCUAGUAAUCGUGGAUCAGAAUGCCACGGUGAAUACGUUCCCGGGCCUUGUACACACCGCCCGUCACACCAUGGGAGUGGGUUGCAAAAGAAGUAGGUAGCUUAACCUUCGGGAGGGCGCUUACCACUUUGUGAUUCAUGACUGGGGUGAAGUCGUAACAAGGUAACCGUAGGGGAACCUGCGGUUGGAUCACCUCCUUACCUUAAAGAAGC